rnacentral:rRNA from 1 species
ACUAAGCGUACACGGUGGAUGCCCUGGCAGUCAGAGGCGAUGAAGGACGUGCUAAUCUGCGAUAAGCGUCGGUAAGGUGAUAUGAACCGUUAUAACCGGCGAUUUCCGAAUGGGGAAACCCAGUGUGAUUCGUCACACUAUCAUUAACUGAAUCCAUAGGUUAAUGAGGCGAACCGGGGGAACUGAAACAUCUAAGUACCCCGAGGAAAAGAAAUCAACCGAGAUUCCCCCAGUAGCGGCGAGCGAACGGGGAGCAGCCCAGAGCCUGAAUCAGUGUGUGUGUUAGUGGAAGCGUCUGGAAAGGCGCGCGAUACAGGGUGACAGCCCCGUACACAAAAAUGCACAUACUGUGAGCUCGAUGAGUAGGGCGGGACACGUGGUAUCCUGUCUGAAUAUGGGGGGACCAUCCUCCAAGGCUAAAUACUCCUGACUGACCGAUAGUGAACCAGUACCGUGAGGGAAAGGCGAAAAGAACCCCGGCGAGGGGAGUGAAAAAGAACCUGAAACCGUGUACGUACAAGCAGUGGGAGCCUCUUUAUGGGGUGACUGCGUACCUUUUGUAUAAUGGGUCAGCGACUUAUAUUCUGUAGCAAGGUUAACCGAAUAGGGGAGCCGAAGGGAAACCGAGUCUUAACUGGGCGUUAAGUUGCAGGGUAUAGACCCGAAACCCGGUGAUCUAGCCAUGGGCAGGUUGAAGGUUGGGUAACACUAACUGGAGGACCGAACCGACUAAUGUUGAAAAAUUAGCGGAUGACUUGUGGCUGGGGGUGAAAGGCCAAUCAAACCGGGAGAUAGCUGGUUCUCCCCGAAAGCUAUUUAGGUAGCGCCUCGUGAAUUCAUCUCCGGGGGUAGAGCACUGUUUCGGCAAGGGGGUCAUCCCGACUUACCAACCCGAUGCAAACUGCGAAUACCGGAGAAUGUUAUCACGGGAGACACACGGCGGGUGCUAACGUCCGUCGUGAAGAGGGAAACAACCCAGACCGCCAGCUAAGGUCCCAAAGUCAUGGUUAAGUGGGAAACGAUGUGGGAAGGCCCAGACAGCCAGGAUGUUGGCUUAGAAGCAGCCAUCAUUUAAAGAAAGCGUAAUAGCUCACUGGUCGAGUCGGCCUGCGCGGAAGAUGUAACGGGGCUAAACCAUGCACCGAAGCUGCGGCAGCGACGCUUAUGCGUUGUUGGGUAGGGGAGCGUUCUGUAAGCCUGCGAAGGUGUACUGUGAGGUAUGCUGGAGGUAUCAGAAGUGCGAAUGCUGACAUAAGUAACGAUAAAGCGGGUGAAAAGCCCGCUCGCCGGAAGACCAAGGGUUCCUGUCCAACGUUAAUCGGGGCAGGGUGAGUCGACCCCUAAGGCGAGGCCGAAAGGCGUAGUCGAUGGGAAACAGGUUAAUAUUCCUGUACUUGGUGUUACUGCGAAGGGGGGACGGAGAAGGCUAUGUUGGCCGGGCGACGGUUGUCCCGGUUUAAGCGUGUAGGCUGGUUUUCCAGGCAAAUCCGGAAAAUCAAGGCUGAGGCGUGAUGACGAGGCACUACGGUGCUGAAGCAACAAAUGCCCUGCUUCCAGGAAAAGCCUCUAAGCAUCAGGUAACAUCAAAUCGUACCCCAAACCGACACAGGUGGUCAGGUAGAGAAUACCAAGGCGCUUGAGAGAACUCGGGUGAAGGAACUAGGCAAAAUGGUGCCGUAACUUCGGGAGAAGGCACGCUGAUAUGUAGGUGAAGCGACUUGCUCGUGGAGCUGAAAUCAGUCGAAGAUACCAGCUGGCUGCAACUGUUUAUUAAAAACACAGCACUGUGCAAACACGAAAGUGGACGUAUACGGUGUGACGCCUGCCCGGUGCCGGAAGGUUAAUUGAUGGGGUUAGCGGUAACGCGAAGCUCUUGAUCGAAGCCCCGGUAAACGGCGGCCGUAACUAUAACGGUCCUAAGGUAGCGAAAUUCCUUGUCGGGUAAGUUCCGACCUGCACGAAUGGCGUAAUGAUGGCCAGGCUGUCUCCACCCGAGACUCAGUGAAAUUGAACUCGCUGUGAAGAUGCAGUGUACCCGCGGCAAGACGGAAAGACCCCGUGAACCUUUACUAUAGCUUGACACUGAACAUUGAGCCUUGAUGUGUAGGAUAGGUGGGAGGCUUUGAAGUGUGGACGCCAGUCUGCAUGGAGCCGACCUUGAAAUACCACCCUUUAAUGUUUGAUGUUCUAACGUUGGCCCCUAAUCGGGGUUGCGGACAGUGUCUGGUGGGUAGUUUGACUGGGGCGGUCUCCUCCUAAAGAGUAACGGAGGAGCACGAAGGUUGGCUAAUCCUGGUCGGACAUCAGGAGGUUAGUGCAAUGGCAUAAGCCAGCUUGACUGCGAGCGUGACGGCGCGAGCAGGUGCGAAAGCAGGUCAUAGUGAUCCGGUGGUUCUGAAUGGAAGGGCCAUCGCUCAACGGAUAAAAGGUACUCCGGGGAUAACAGGCUGAUACCGCCCAAGAGUUCAUAUCGACGGCGGUGUUUGGCACCUCGAUGUCGGCUCAUCACAUCCUGGGGCUGAAGUAGGUCCCAAGGGUAUGGCUGUUCGCCAUUUAAAGUGGUACGCGAGCUGGGUUUAGAACGUCGUGAGACAGUUCGGUCCCUAUCUGCCGUGGGCGCUGGAGAACUGAGGGGGGCUGCUCCUAGUACGAGAGGACCGGAGUGGACGCAUCACUGGUGUUCGGGUUGUCAUGCCAAUGGCACUGCCCGGUAGCUAAAUGCGGAAGAGAUAAGUGCUGAAAGCAUCUAAGCACGAAACUUGCCCCGAGAUGAGUUCUCCCUGACUCCCUGAGAGUCCUGAAGGAACGUUGAAGACGACGACGUUGAUAGGCCGGGUGUGUAAGCGCAGCGAUGCGUUGAGCUAACCGGUACUAAUGAACCGUGAGGCUUAACC